GGACAGAUGGCAGAGUGGUCGAAUGCGCACGCUUGGAAAGCGUGUGAUGCAGCAAUGUAUCCGAGGGUUCGAAUCCCUCUCUGUCCGCCA
rnacentral:tRNA from 3 species